rnacentral:rRNA from 1 species
CUCAGAACGAACGCUGGCGGCAUGCCUAACACAUGCAAGUCGAACGAAGCCUUCGGGCUUAGUGGCGCACGGGUGAGUAACACGUGGGAACCUGCCUUUCGGUUCGGAAUAACGUUUGGAAACGAACGCUAACACCGGAUACGCCCUUUGGGGGAAAGUUUACGCCGAGAGAGGAGCCCGCGUCCGAUUAGGUAGUUGGUGAGGUAACGGCUCACCAAGCCGACGAUCCGUAGCUGGUCUGAGAGGAUGAUCAGCCACACUGGGACUGAGACACGGCCCAGACUCCUACGGGAGGCAGCAGUGGGGAAUAUUGGACAAUGGGCGCAAGCCUGAUCCAGCAAUGCCGCGUGAGUGAUGAAGGCCUUAGGGUUGUAAAGCUCUUUCGCACGUGACGAUGAUGACGGUAACGUGAGAAGAAGCCCCGGCUAACUUCGUGCCAGCAGCCGCGGUAAU